GCUCAGGUGGUGAAAUUGGUAGACACACUGGCUUUAGGCGCCAGUGCCCGCAAGGGCGUAGGGGUUCGAGUCCCCUCUUGAGCA
rfam:Verrucomicrobia bacterium CAG:312_58_20 Ley3_66761_scaffold_1395, whole genome shotgun sequence.